GACGAACGCUGGCGGCGUGCUUAACACAUGCAAGUCGAACGGAAAGGCCCUGCUUUUGUGGGGUGCUCGAGUGGCGAACGGGUGAGUAACACGUGAGUAACCUGCCCUUGACUUUGGGAUAACUUCAGGAAACUGGGGCUACUACCGGAUAGGAGCUCCUGCUGCAUGGUGGGGGUUGGAACGUUUCGGCGGUUGGGGAUGGACUCGCGGCUUAUCAGCUUGUUGGUGGGGUAGUGGCUUACCAAGGCUUUGACGGGUAGCCGGCCUGAGAGGGUGACCGGCGACAUGGGGACUGAGAGACGGCGCAGACUCGUACGGGAGGCAGCAGUGGGGAAUAUUGCACAAUGGGCGGAAGCCUGAUGCAGCAACGCCGCGUGCGGGAUGACGGCCUGCGGGUUGUAAACCGCUUUCGCCUGUGACGAAGCGUGAGUGACGGUAAUGGGUAAAGAAGCACCGGCUAACUACGUG
rnacentral:rRNA from 1 species